UAGGGUUUGAUUAUGGCUCAGAACGAACGCUGGCGGCGUGGAUAAGACAUGCAAGUCGUGCGACAGACCAGGAAUUGAUUACUUCGGUUUGAUUUUCCUGACGAUGAGCGGCGAACGGGUGCGUAACACGUGAGAAAUCUGCCCUUAAGUUCGGGAUAGCCCUACGAAAGUAGAAUUAAUACCGGAUGUGGCCCAGGGAGGGCAUCUUCCCCUGGCUAAAGCUCGGUUAUAGAGCGCUUUUGGAUGAUCUCGCGGUCUAUCAGCUUGUUGGUGAGGUAAUGGCUCACCAAGGCUAUGACGGAUAGCUGGUCUGAGAGGAUGAUCAGCCUCACUGGAACUGAGACACGGUCCAGACACCUACGGGUGGCAGCAGUCGAGAAUCAUUCACAAUGGGCGCAAGCCUGAUGGUGCGACGCCGCGUGGGGGAUGAAGGGCUUCGGUUCGUAAACCCCUGUCAUCUGUGAGUAAGACUCCCAAUAAAAGCUUGGGAGGUUGAUAUUAGCAGAAGAGGAAGGGACGGCUAACUCUGUGCCAGCAGCCGCGGUAAUUCA
rnacentral:rRNA from 1 species